GUGCUCUCAGGUCUGAAAUCUCUGGAGUUCCAUCUCAUUACACCUUCAGCAUGUUGCAGCAGUGGUCUGCAGAACUGACCUCACGGCUGUAGGUGUGCUGGCAGCACCACGGAACACUACAAGACAUUCCGUAGCAGGCCUCUAGCUUCAUCACUGCUCCCCAGCCUUUCUUUAAACAGGGACCAUUGGCAUUUGGAAGGCCAGCAGCUGUUAAGAGGAGUAACAUUGACUCCUACAACUUGUAUGCAGCGUGGAAUAAUGAAAUCAUCGAAGACGUUGGAGAGCCACAGAGUGUUGGCAACCAGGAAGGCUCAAGGACAUCACCAGUGCUACAAUUUGAACUUUGUUUUGACAGAGCAUUGAAGUACAGCUUUGCUGCCUCCAGUGGAAACCUGCUGGAUGAGAUGCUUUGUGAGUGGCACAUUCAGCACUGCAAAGCUCUCCUGUGCCAGCCUCAGGACUUCCAGCAAGCAGCAGGUAGUGCAGCCCACUGUCAAAAAGCCUGAAAUCUUCAAAGGAAGCAAUUUGAUGAGAAAGACUUCUGGACAGACUCCUGGAAAUGCUCAUUUUGCUUAAUCACCUUUUGGCCUUGGAACCGAACAUCCUCCUCCAAAGUAUUGCCUUCAAUUCUGCUUGCAAGUUUGGUAUGCCAGAUUAAGGAUGGAUGUGGGACAUGAAAGGAUUUUUCUCCCCCACUUCACACUUAAAACAAUUCAGAUUUCCUGUGUAAGCCUGUCCCCAGGGAUGGAAAACCUGGUGUACACAACUCAUAAAUAAAGCUGGUGAGACAUGAGCAAGAAAAAAAAGCAUAGCCUUCUUCUGGGAAUCACUCCAGGAAAAUAAAUAUGCAAGAUGGCACAUCACCCUACACAGAGCUGGCAAAGGCUCUAUCUACUCCAGAUACAUGAGGACAGCAAGGACCACCAGCAGACUGCUUGUGAGAAUCAGCAUGCUAGCAAUGCCCACCAAGCUCACCCAGGUACCCAGAUGGCAAAGUGCUCUGAGGAAAAGGUGGUGUGCCCAUAUCUGAGUUAUGGACAUCCUAGAAUGGCAGCAUCUUCAGCGAAGAGAGGAUAAUCUACAAGAAAAUGUCCAUACAGUAGGUGCAUGCAUGUGUGCAUGAAGGAAAACAAGUGUUACAAUCAAAUCCUGACACAUAAGUUGAAAUGUAAGAAAUCCAGAAGCAGGUUUUGUGUCUGUCAUCUGCUUUAAGGGUUAAACCGACUCAGACUUCAGCAACAGCGAUCAGCUUAAGCUAGCAGAGCCAAGACUGCUGCAAGAACUGUUCUUUUUCCUUCCUGCUACUUAGACUCAGCCCUUGCACUGCCUGCUCCAUUGUGUAAGCACAGGCUCUCACACAUCUACAUAAAUGAGGCAAGCCAGGGACCUAUUUGAGUCAAAACUCACCCGUAUUUUUUAGUUGGAUCAGUUUUAACCUGGAUCAGUUUUCCAAAUACAGUUUGUAGUGCAGCUAUUCAAAACUGCUUGCACUGACAAGGAAGAGUGCAAGGGACCUCCUGUGACAGUGCUGACUCAAAUCUUCCCUGAAAAUAUAACCUCACCUUGGUUUGACCCUUGCAGGCUAACUUACUGAGUACAAGAAGAAUAUGAAAGCAGAAGUGUGCUCUAGUGAAUGAAGGGAAACUGGGUACAGCUCAGAGAGCAUGUGAGUUCCCUAGCAGUGCCUGCACAGCUAUAGGACUACCGCUCGGAGCAAGCCACUUACGUCAACAAGGAAAGUCCCUUCUCUCUUUCUCCCAGAAGGUAACAUUCAACACUUUCAGAAAUCAAUACCUCAAAUGAACAGCAAAGUGGCUCUAGGUUUAGGCAUCCAGUCUCAGUCCUGCUGCCUGCUCUUCUGGUGCAGGGAGUUGCUUUCUCUGCAGCAGUAGUGCUAGAUGCAAACUUGCAUCCACACCUCACACUCAUUUAGAAGCCAGAAGUCUCCAGUUGCUUAAAUGUCUUGGAUUAUAUACCAGCCCAGCUGGGCUGCAGACUCUUCAUGUUCUGCUGCCUAUGCAUAUGACAAUAGAGCAUUGUAGUGGAUUGGUAUCCCCUAGCACAGAAGUGCACUGCAAAUGUAGUAUCUUUAACUCCUGCAGGAAGGGGCACCAGAGCACAUCUGUCAGCGCUGAAAGACGUGAAGCCAUCAGUGAAACAAACAGUGGUGGCAAGAUACCACGCUCAGGAAGCUGACUGCGUGAACAGAAAGACAACAGAGCAGGGACUGGAGCAAGAAAAGAAGAGAGAAGUGUCCCUACCAACAUCCUAUGGAAAUGAGGGAAACUUGUCAGUUAAGCAACAGCACAAAAUGUACUCAGAGAUGUUAUUUGCUAACGUGCCUCACCAGUAACCUCCCAAUGAUUUAUUAGCCUUUGUGAAAUUCAUAAGAGCAUUCUUGUAGUUCCAAAGGUUUUCCAAACACGAGCCUUGCAAAUGUAAAUAACUGUCAAACGAUUUAAA